rnacentral:rRNA from 1 species
ACACCGGCAGCCCGAGUGGUGGCCACUUUUAUGGGGCCUAAAGCGUCCGUAGCCGGUCCGGUAAGUCCCUGUGUAAAUCCUCAGGCUCAACCUGAGGAAUUGCGGGGAUACUGCCGGACUCGGGGCCGGGAGACGCGGAGGGUACUCCAGGGGUAGCGGUGAAAUGCUGUAAUCCCUGGGGGACCACCAGUGGCGAAGGCGCUCCGCGAGAACGGGCCCGACGGUGAGGGACGAAAGCCAGGGGAGCGAACGGGAUUAGAAACCCUAGUAGUCC